CUUAAGCUUAGUUGCCAUCAUUAAGUUGGGCACUCUAAGUUGACUGCCGGUGACAAACCGGAGGAAGGUGGGGAUGACGUCAAAUCAUCAUGCCCCUUAUGAUUUGGGCUACACACGUGCUACAAUGGACAAUACAAAGGGCAGCGAAACCGCGAGGUCAAGCAAAUCCCAUAAAGUUGUUCUCAGUUCGGAUUGUAGUCUGCAACUCGACUACAUGAAGCUGGAAUCGCUAGUAAUCGUAGAUCAGCAUGCUACGGUGAAUACGUUCCCGGGUCUUGUACACACCGCCCGUCACACCACGAGAGUUUGUAACACCCGAAGCCGGUGGAGUAACCUUUUAGGAGCUAGCCGUCGAAGGUGGGACAAAUGAUUGGGGUGAAGUCGUAACAAGGUAGCCGUAUCGGAAGGUGCGGCUGGAUCACCUCCUUUCUAAGGA
rnacentral:rRNA from 1 species